AUGCAUGCUUACAUUAGCCAGUAUGAUCUUCACCAUGCUGAGAUGACUGUCAGAGAGACAAUUGAUUUCUCAUCCAAUAUGUUGGGAACCAUUAACAAAUUUGAGAUGAUGGGACAAUCAGUAAGAAGAAAGCAGGGUGAGCUCAAUGAAGUGGAACCAAAUCUUGACUCAUUUAUUAAGGCUACGACAUUUGGAGAAGGAACUAACCUUACAAUGAACUAUAUUAUCAAGAUACUUGGUUUGUCUGAGUGUGCUGAUAUCCUAGUGGGGGAUGAGAUGAGAAGAGGCAUAUCGGGAGGACAAAAGAAAAGGGCAACAAUUGGAGAGAUGCUAGUUGGUCUAGAAAGAUGCUUCUUUAUGGAUGAUAUUUCAACUGGUCUUGAUAGCACCACGACAUAUGAGAUAAUAAAAGUUAUACAACAAAUGGCUCAUUUAAUGGAUCUCACAGUGGUUAUUUCCUUGCUUCAACCACCUCCCGAGACAUUGGAAUUAUUUGAUGACAUAAUCCUUUUAUGCGAGGGUCAAAUUGUAUAUCAUGGUCCUCGAGAAAAAGCUACUGAUUUCUUUUGA
rnacentral:rRNA from 1 species